rnacentral:rRNA from 1 species
UACGUAGGGUGCGAGCGUUAAUCGGAAUUACUGGGCGUAAAGCGUGCGCAGGCGGUUCGUUGUGUCGGCGGGGAAAGCCCCGGGCUUAACCUGGGAAUGGCCGUUGAAACUGGCGAACUGGAGUGUGGCAGUGGGGGGUGGAAUUCCGCGUGUAGCAGUGAAAUGCGUAGAGAUGCGGAGGAACACCGAUGGCGAAGGCAGCCCCCUGGGCUAACACUGACGCUGAUGCACGAAAGCGUGGGGAGCAAACAGG